rnacentral:lncRNA from 1 species
UACUGCUAGCUUUGCCUUCUUAUCUUUGUUGUUGUUGUUUUUUCCUUAGCUCUUGGGAUUGGCUAAUAGAAGAUCUCUGCUGUGAAGCCCAUCUUCAACAUGGCAGGGUCAUUGUUUCCCUCUGGCAAAGGAGAUUUUGUUUGCAACAGGUGAGGUUGAGUUGGUGCAAACUGCAAGCUCUGUGUAGUAGUAACUCCACCAGCUUGGAGGGUCUUUAUCAGAGAACAUCACUCAGUGAUUCAUACAAAAGAGGACAAGAAGCUGAUCUCUGGACAGGAAGCACAGAAAACUUCUGAGCUCGUGCCAGACCUCAGUGAAGUCUAAGGGAGAGCCCAAGAGUUCCAUCAUUGUUCUGUCAUUGUCCUCUCCUGUUAGCACAUGGAGCACAAUCAGACAGCAGUCCUACCAAGAGCCUCUAGGGGCUACUGCAGUUUAAUAAAUCACAAUAUAUAAAAUGCAAACCAGUUUUUAGUCUGAUAUGGGCUGUGUUAAUCUCUGGUGUGCUAUCUUGGACUUCAGAAGAGUUACAAGCAAUGGAAUAUUGCCCACUGAACCUUUGCUGACUGUUCUCACAUUGCCAGGAAGGAUAAAGGAUAAAGUUUUCUUUUGUGUGAGAGGGCCUGAACUUCCAACAUCUCCAAGAGCGCAGGAACCCGAGGAAGAGACCACAUGGCUGCACUGUGCCUGAAGAAAACCAGGAUUGAUAUCUUGGUUUGGCAUCCUGGUCUCGAGCCAACACCAUCUCUGUUCCCGCCUUGAGUUCCAGGCUGCCCCUUCCCUUUGCAGGGUACAGACCCAUUUCUCCUGGCAGGUCUUGUGGGGAGGCUGAGCCAACACUCAGGGCUCUGAUCUCUAUGAGGAAACAGCCCCCCAGAAGAAUCACAAGUCUGUAACAGUCCCACCCAAUGAAGAAGGCAGAACUUGGCCCAAUCAAGGCAAUUAAGCCACACAACUGUAUUUAAAGUAACUUUCGUAGUUAUUGACUUCCGGACGGAUACAUUGGUGUUUUCUGCCUAUCAGUUUAGAUAACAAGCUCAAACUACACAGUGCAUUUCAUUAGAUACUAGAGGCAAGCUUGAUUGCAUCUCAGCUAAUUAUUUGAGAUUUAGUGUUUUUCUAACACUGAGCUGGACAUUCAACCUUUUUUCCCUCCCCCUCCCCUCAAUUAGAAUAGAUGUAGUGAAAGAAGGUAAAAUAACCCCAGAAAUAAUUGGAUUUUGCAGCAGAAUGAGACAAGCUGUCCAACACAUUCAUACAGUCCACUCUGCUUUUACAAGCUAAAGCCUCAGAUUGCAAUUUAUGACUGCUUCUUGAGGCUGAAAUUAGAAAGAGUAUUAAUAUUAGAAGGAAAAUAUAUUAGCAGAAACACUUGCUGGAUCUGAAAGAUCUGCCUUUUGGCUGAGAUCAAUAACCAGAAAGCCCAAGGCUGAUCUUUAUCAGAAUAUGGAGUGAAUGCCUAGGAGGAUGGAUAAUAAGUGCUGUCUGGAGAUUUCAUUCUCUUCCCGCAACCAUGUGAAAAAUGUAGCCACUGGGUCCCACAAAAUUACAGGCUUCAUUGCGAUGAAAGCUCCAUUUUGCUUUUAUUUAACUAGCAAUAAAAAUUUUGGAGCACUAAAAGUUGAAAAUGCU